AGCCAGAGCUUGGGAUCGCUUUCUGCUAUUCAACGUCCUCCACCUCUGCCCCCCUCUCGCCCCAGCCGGUGACAGGCUGUUGCCCUGUGAUCUGCAGGUCCUGGGACGUGCACAGACAGCUAAGAUGCCAGGACAUUCCAGAAGCACCUGAGUAAUUUGACUCUCCUGCCUGGACCCAGCGUACAGAUGGGAUUGUGCUUCAUUGCUGGACCCAGCAUUUAGGGAUCGUCACUCCCGUGGAUGAUCAAAGCUACUCCGGGGGCUGAGGCAGGAGAAUCGCUUGAACUCGGGAAGCAGAAGUUGCAGUGAGCCAAGGUCGCACCACUGCACUCCAGCCCAGGCGACAUUGUGAGACUCCAUCUCAAAAAAAAAAAAAAGAAAAAAAGUGUACUAACAAGACCCAGCACACAGAGGAGACUUUUACCAUUGUAUGAACACCCAUCAAACAGUACACAUCAUCAUUGUGAGUUCUGAAUCUCACACAUAGAGGAAGUCAAAGGUGGAAAACUUGACUCUCAUAUUUGGAUCCAGU
rnacentral:lncRNA from 10 species